AUACGGAGGAUCCGAGCGUUAUCCGGAUUUAUUGGGUUUAAAGGGUGCGCAGGCGGCCAUUUAAGUCAGCGGUUAAAUCGUGGGGCUCAACCCCAUUCUGCCGUUGAUACUGGGUGGCUUGAUUGCGGUCGAGGUUGGCGGCACUCGUUGUGUAGCGGGGAAAUGCAUAGAUAUGACGAAGAACACCGAUUGCGUAGGCAGCUGACCAGAUCGCAAAUGACGCUCAUGCACGAAAGUGCGGGGAUCGAACAGGAUUAGAUACCCUGGUAGUCCGCACAGUAAACGAUGAAUACUUGUUUUCGGCGAUAUAAUGUCGGAGGCAAAGCGAAAGCGGUAAGUAUUCCACCUGGGGAGUACGCCGGCAACGGUGAAACUCAAAGGAAUUGACGGGG
rnacentral:rRNA from 1 species